UACGGAGGAUGCAAGCGUUAUCCGGAAUCAUUGGGCGUAAAGCGUCCGUAGGUGGCAGUUCAAGUCUGCUGUCAAAGUCCGGGGCUUAACUUCGGAAAGGCAGUGGAAACUGAACAGCUAGAGUAUGGUAGGGGCGGAGGGAAUUCCUGGUGUAGCGGUGAAAUGCGUAGAGAUCAGGAAGAACAUCGGUGGCGAAGGCGGUCUGCUGGACCGUAACUGACGCUCAGGGACGAAAGCUAGGGGAGCGAAUGGG
rnacentral:rRNA from 1 species